rnacentral:misc_RNA from 1 species
UUAAGUUCAGCGGGUAUUCCUACCUAAUCCGAGGUCAACCACUAGAAGUAUAGGGGGUUUUACGGCGGGCCUUAAGCACACCACAGGAGCGAGAAAAAGAAUUACUACGCUACGAGUGUACCUAACACCGCCACUACCUUUAAGGAGCUACGCCGUAAGGUCGUAGGCUCCCAACACUAAGCGACAGGGGCUUAAGGGUU